rnacentral:misc_RNA from 1 species
CUGGUUAAUCUACUAUAGGAUGUGAAAAAAAUGGUCUGGCGUCUUCUCACAUGGACAUGUCUGCUCCGAACAACGGAAUCAUUGCAAAGUGUUCGAUUGGGCCAUUCAUAAUCAGGGACACAAUUUUGAAACCUGUUUUCUGCAAUCGUAUGAGCGUUUCUAUUACCAGGUCAAACUUUUUAUCAAAAAAUACGCAAUUAGUAAUUUCCAAUUAGAAUCGAGAUUAACUACCAUCAUAACAAGACCCUGAGUUGCUUCUGCAACGUCACUACCACCGUCACUACCUAUCCCGAUGUCCUAUGUGUCCACGCAUUUUUCCAUCUCCACCCCUCUGGCAUCCUUUUUUGAUACUCAUUCUAUUAAACAUCAACCAGCACAAUAUUUCUUUGUUAUGUUUUUUUGCUUCUGCCACUUUCAUUUCCAGAGUAGUGAAGCAUUCAGUGACAAACCCAGGCUCUGCAUCAAUACUAUGCUCCAAGUACACUAGGAUGUGGGCGUGUAAGUCGAAAAGUUUUUCUGACAUAAGCAUAAGCAGUAGAAGCCCUCAUUGGAAAUAAGUUGUAAAUUCUUCAAACUUUAAUUAACAGACCACAGAGAUGUCCGGUUGUCUUCAGCCGCUUCACUUUUUGCUUCAAAAAUUUAUUGCUAGCUCUGACUGAACGCAAGAAUUUUUGCGUAUGUUGAAGUCUUAUUUCCAAACUACGAGGAGAGAGAUAAUAUGUAUCCAUGAUCGUGCAAUGUUGCGUGUUGUCGGUAAUGAGUUUUGGGAGUACAGAUAGGUGAAAUAUUCUGAAUGUGAGUUGAUGGCAACACUGCUAAAAUUAACAAAUGAUAUAAUUAGUAAUAAAUUAAAAGAUCAAAAAUAUAUUGAAAAAUAAAAUUAUCACCCAGUUGCAAACUAAAAAUUAUUACAGCUCAAAAUCUUUAAGCUGUAUCCUCAAAAGGAUGGAGGAUAUCUGCCAAGACUAAAAUUUUUCGAACUAUUAUUUCAGCCGUGAUAAGAAAAUUAACAAACCAUCUCUAGCUGUAACUUCAGUAUUACUAUAACAUCUAAAAAUCUGGAGGAAUUCUGAGGGGCAGCUACUAUUACGAAGAUGAAGGUCUGCAGAGUUUCAACUUUUUUGAAUAAUUAUUUUGGCCGUAAUAAAAAAUGAAAAAUUGAAAAAUUAAGCAGCAAGGGUUAAAUUAAGAUAGAGACCCAAAACUUGGGUAAGAUUUUUUGUAAAUUCUUUUGAACCAUUUGAGCCAGGGAAAGCAUACAAAUUCAAAAAUAUCCCAUAUAAGAACCACCCUAUUGUUUAUUUACUAUACCUGGACUCGAGGAUCCAACAUCAUUUAAGUGGCAAGACGGAGGAAAAUUAUUCCCAAGUCCCAUUGCAGGAGUGAUGAUUUCUACACAGAAAGAGUUUCAGUUUACAUGCUGCAGAGUUUUUACUGAAGGCCAGUGAUUCUGAAAGUUACCAGUAUCAGUAUUCGUGUCACUCAUUGGUUUAUCUACAAUCGCAUCGAUAGGAAGCUGGUUGUCUGAACACCUAAACAUAAAUUCAUUUCUGUAU